rnacentral:rRNA from 1 species
GCUCGAGCUAACUCCCAACCCAUGUGAACAUACCUACUGUUGCUUCGGCGGGAUUGCCCCGGGCGCCUCGUGUGCCCCGGAUCAGGCGCCCGCCUAGGAAACUUAACUCUUGUUUUAUUUUGGAAUCUUCUGAGUAGUUUUUACAAAUAAAUAAAAACUUUCAACAACGGAUCUCUUGGUUCUGGCAUCGAUGAAGAACGCAGCGAAAUGCGAUAAGUAAUGUGAAUUGCAGAAUUCAGUGAAUCAUCGAAUCUUUGAACGCACAUUGCGCCCGCCAGUAUUCUGGCGGGCAUGCCUGUCUGAGCGUCAUUUCAACCCUCAUGCCCCUAGGGCGUGGUGUUGGGGAUCGGCCAAAGCCCGCGAGGGACGGCCGGCCCCUAAAUCUAGUGGCGGACCCGUCGUGGCCUCCUCUGCGAAGUAGUGAUAUUCCGCAUCGGAGAGCGACGAGCCCCUGCCGUUAAACCCCCAACUUUCCAAGGUUGACCUCAGAUCAGGUAGGAAUACCCGCUGAACUUAAGCAUUCUAAGGGGGGAAA